UACGUAGGCAGCGAGCGUUGUUCGGAGUUACUGGGCGUAAAGAGUGCGUAGGCGGUUUUCUAAGUUUGGUGUGAAAUCUCCCGGCUCAACUGGGAGGGUGCGCCGAAGACUGGAAGGCUAGAGUAUGGGAGAGGUAAGCGGAAUUCCUGGUGUAGCGGUGAAAUGCGUAGAUAUCAGGAGGAACACCUGCGGUGUAGACGGCUUACUGGACCAUCACUGACACUGAGGCACGAAAGCGUGGGUAGCAAACAGG
rnacentral:rRNA from 1 species